GAAUUGCGAUAUGUAAUGUGAAUUGCAGAAUUCAGUGAAUCAUCGAAUCUUUGAACGCACAUUGCACCCUCUGUUAUUCCGGAGGGUAUGCCUGUUUGAGUGUCAUUAAUACAUCAACACAGACAUGUUUUAUUACUUGUUCUGAUGCUUGGAUGUUGAAGGCCUGCUGGCAAGUACCAUUGUCAGCUCCUUUUAAAUCUAUUAGCAGAAACUUUGCAGAACUGGCUCCAGUUUGAUAAAAUUGAACUGUUGUUAGAAAAGCACUUUGUUUCAGCUUCCAAUAGUCCAGUUUACUGGACUGUCUCUUUCGAGGCAUUCACUUUGACAACUUGACCUCAAAUCAGGUAGGAUUACCCGCUGAACUUAA
rnacentral:misc_RNA from 1 species